rnacentral:rRNA from 1 species
UACACUCCUGCGGGAGGCAGCAGUGGGGAAUUUUGGACAAUGGGCGAAAGCCUGAUCCAGCCAUGCCGCGUGCAGGAUGAAGGCCUUCGGGUUGUAAACUGCUUUUGUACGGAACGAAACGGCCUUUUCUAAUAAAGAGGGCUAAUGACGGUACCGUAAGAAUAAGCACCGGCUAACUACGUGCCAGCAGCCGCGGUAAUACGUAGGGUGCAAGCGUUAAUCGGAAUUACUGGGCGUAAAGCGUGCGCAGGCGGUUAUGUAAGACAGUUGUGAAAUCCCCGGGCUCAACCUGGGAACUGCAUCUGUGACUGCAUAGCUAGAGUACGGUAGAGGGGGAUGGAAUUCCGCGUGUAGCAGUGAAAUGCGUAGAUAUGCGGAGGAACACCGAUGGCGAAGGCAAUCCCCUGGACCUGUACUGACGCUCAUGCACGAAAGCGUGGGGAGCAAACAGGAUUAGAAACCCCAGUAGUCCCAUGA